rnacentral:rRNA from 1 species
AUUGAACGCUAGCGGGAUGCUUUAUACAUGCAAGUCGAACGAGUGGCGGACGGGUGAGUAAUAUAUCGGAACGUGCCCAGUAGCGGGGGAUAACUCCUCGAAAGAGUGGCUAAUAACGCAUACUAUUGGAUCGGCGAAUAUCGGAUUAGCGAGUUGGUGGGGUAAAGGCUCACCAAGGCAACGAUCCGUAGCGGGUUUGAGAGGACGACCAGCCACACUGGGACGUAGACACGGCCCAGACGCCUACGGGAGGCAGCAGUGGGGAAUUUUGGACAAUGGGGGAAACCCUGAUCCAGCCAUCCCGCGUGUAUGAGAAGGCCUUCGGGUUGUAAAGUACUUUUGGCAGAGAAGCGGUAUCUGCAGAAUAAGCACCGGCUAACUACGUGCCAGCCGCCGCGGUAAUAC